rnacentral:rRNA from 1 species
UACGUAGGGGGCGAGCGUUGUCCGGAUUCAUUGGGCGUAAAGAGCUCGUAGGCGGCUUGGCAAGUCGGGUGUGAAAACUUCAGGCUCAACCUGGAGCGGCCACUCGAUACUGCCAUGGCUAGAGUCCGGUAGGGGACCACGGAAUUCCUGGUGUAGCGGUGAAAUGCGCAGAUAUCAGGAGGAACACCGGUGGCGAAGGCGGUGGUCUGGGCCGGCACUGACGCUGAGGAGCGAAAGCGUGGGGAGCGAACAGG